rnacentral:rRNA from 1 species
UACAGAGGGUGCGAGCGUUAAUCGGAAUUACUGGGCGUAAAGCGCACGUAGGUGGCGACGUAAGUCGGGUGUGAAAGCCCCGGGCUCAACCUGGGAAUUGCAUUCGAGACUGCAUUGCUGGAGUACGGAAGAGGAAGGCGGAAUUCCCGGUGUAGCGGUGAAAUGCGUAGAUAUCGGGAGGAACAUCAGUGGCGAAGGCGGAUCGCUGGGCCAACACUGACGCUGAUGUGCGAAAGCUAGGGGAGCAAACGGG